rnacentral:rRNA from 16 species
AUUACGAAGAACAUCAGUGGCGAAGGCGGCUUACUGGUCUACAACUGACGCUGAGGCACGAAAGCGUGGGGAGCGAACAGGAUUAGAUACCCUGGUAGUCCACGCUGUAAACGAUGCAUACUAGGUGUUGGUCUUUCGGGGCCAGUGCUGCAGUUAACGCAUUAAGUAUGCCACCUGGGGAGUACGUCGGCAACGAUGAAACUCAAAGGAA